rnacentral:rRNA from 1 species
UAGGGAAUAUUAGAAAUGGACGAAAGUCUGAUCUAGCGACACCGCGUGUGCGAUGAAGGCCUUCGGGUUGUAAAGCACUUUUUGGAAGGAAUAGGAAGGAAUGUACUUCCAGAAUAAGUCUCGGCUAACUACGUGCCAGCAGCCGCGGUAACACGUAGGAGGCAAACGUUAUCCGGAUUUACUGGGCGUAAAGCGCGUGUAGGUGGUACUGUAAGUAGGGCGUGAAAGCUCCUGGCUCAACUGGGAGAGGCCGUUCUAAACUACAGAACUAGAGGAUGGUAGAGGGAGGUGGAAUUCCAGGUGUAGCGGUGGAAUGCGCAGAUAUCUGGAGGAACACCGGUGGCGAAGGCGGCCUCCUGGACCAUUCCUGACACUCAGACGCGAAAGCUAGGGUAGCAAACG